CGGAAGACGAGGUCAACGGGGCGACAGGGAGAUAUGCUGCCACCCCGAUGGGCUGUUAGAAAAACCGACGUUGGCAGGAGGAAAGCGGCAGGAGGGAAAGAAAUCAGAAGUGCUAAAUCAGAUGCUAAAGAAGAAAUAAUUUGAUCAAAAACUGAGAUCUCUUACUUGGGUGUAGUUGCUCUCUUGAUUCUUCAGCUUUAGAUAAAACCUCAGCAAGUUUCAGACAGAUCUCAUCUCAGCUAACAGUUUUCAGCUGCCAUGUUGCUUCUGUAUCAAGUCUCUCCUAGGAGAAGACAUAUAAAGACAUUCAGGGAGACUAGUUUCCAGACAACAGGAGAGCUUUUAAGACUAAGCUAUCUCUAGCCUAACUACAGAAUGGAUAUGAUGAGUCUUCUAAAGAAAUAAUUCACAGAUUAUACAAAGCUAUGUGGUUAUUCCUGAAGUUCAGCUAUUUUUGAACAAUUUCUUUGGAAGCUCUUCUUCAGUGAAGUCAUGCUGGAUGCUGGCAACAAAAGACUGAAGUUCUUUGCUAUUUUGUAAUGACUUACAUUAAUGUAAUAUUUUCUAAUUGUUCAACUAUUCCCUAGCAAGUUGAACACUUAAAUAAUUUACACAGCAUGUUUUAGUUCAAAAGUAUUUUAUAUGCAUUAUAUAAGUUGUGUUUAUAGUAUAAGUUGUAUAUUGCUCUUUUUCCUUAAUGAGCAAUAAAAUAAAUCAUCAGCAUUUAGAGAAUCCUUA